UGCGGAGGAUGCGAGCGUUAUCCGGAUUUAUUGGGUUUAAAGGGUGCGUAGGCGGAUUUUUAAGUCAGCGGUAAAAUGUCCGGGCUCAACCCGGGCCGGCCGUUGAAACUGGGGAUCUUGAGUGGGCGAGAAGUAUGCGGAAUGCGUGGUGUAGCGGUGAAAUGCGUAGAUAUCAGGAGGAACACCAGUGGCGAAGGCGGCUUACUGGACUGUAACUGACGUUGAGGCUCGAAAGCGUGGGGAGCAAACAGG
rnacentral:rRNA from 1 species